rnacentral:rRNA from 1 species
UACGUAGGGGGCGAGCGUUGUCCGGAAUCAUUGGGCGUAAAGAGCGUGUAGGCGGCUUGGCAAGUCUGACGUGAAAUCCCGCGGCUCAACCGCGGUAGGUCGUUGGAAACUGCCUCGCUAGAGUCCGGAAGAGGAGAGCGGAAUUCCUGGUGUAGCGGUGGAAUGCGCAGAUAUCAGGAAGAACACCCGUGGCGAAGGCGGCUCUCUGGGCCGGUACUGACACUGAGGAGCGAAAGCGUGGGUAGCAAACAGG